GACGGGGCCCGCACAAGCGGCGGAGCAUGCGGAUUAAUUCGAUGCAACGCGAAGAACUUACCAAGGCUUGACAUACACCGGUAACGCCCAGAGAUGGGUGCCCCUUUGUGGUCGGUGUACAGGUGGUGCAUGGUUGUCGUCAGCUCGUGUCGUGAGAUGUUGGGUUAAGUCCCGCAACGAGCGCAACCCUCGUCCUAUGUUGCCAGCGGGUCAUGCCGGGGACUCAUGGGGGACUGCCGGGGUCAACUCGGAGGAAGGUGGGGAUGACGUCAAAUCAUCAUGCCCCUUAUGUCUUGGGCUUCACACGUCAUACAAUGGUCGGUACAGAGGGUUGCCAAGCCGCGAGGUGGAGCCAAUCCCUUAAAGCCGAUCGUAGUCCGGAUCGUAGUCUGCAACUCGACUACGUGAAGUCGGAAUCGCUAGUAAUCGCAGAUCAGCAUGCUGCGGUGAAUACGUUCCCGGGUCUU
rnacentral:rRNA from 1 species